UACGAAGGGGGCUAGCGUUGCUCGGAAUCACUGGGCGUAAAGGGUGCGUAGGCGGGUCUUUAAGUCAGGGGUGAAAUCCUGGAGCUCAACUCCAGAACUGCCUUUGAUACUGAGGAUCUUGAGUUCGGGAGAGGUGAGUGGAACUGCGAGUGUAGAGGUGAAAUUCGUAGAUAUUCGGCGGAACACCAGUGGCGAAGGCGACUCACUGGCCCAAUACUGACGCUGAGGCGCGAAAGCGUGGGGAGCAAACAGG
rnacentral:rRNA from 1 species